GGGCUAACUUUGUGCCAGCAGCCGCGGUAAUACAGAGGGUGCAAGCGUAUUCGGAAUUACUGGGCGUAAAGCGCGCGUAGGCGGACUGUUAAGUCGGUUGUGAAAGCCCUUGGGCUCAACCUAGGAACUGCAUCCGAUACUGGCAAUCUAGAGUUUAAGAGAGGGAAGUGGAAUUCCAGGUGUAGCAGUGAAAUGCGUAGAUAUCUGGAGGAACAUCAGUGGCGAAGGCGACUUCCUGGCUUAAAACUGACGCUGAGGUGCGAAAGCUUGGGUAGCGAACGGGAUUAGAUACCCCGGUAGUCCAAGCCGUAAACGAUGUCAACUAGCUGUUGGUCUUAUUAAAAAGAUUAGUAGCGUAGCUAACGCGAUAAGUUGACCGCCUGGGGAGUACGGUCGCAAGAUUAAAACUCAAAGGAAUUGACGGGGGCCCGCACAAGCGGUGGAGCAUGUGGUUUAAUUCGAUGCAACGCGAAGAACCUUACCAUCCCUUGACAUCCUGCGAACUUUCUAGAGAUAGAUUGGUGCCUUCGGGAACGCAGUGACAGGUGCUGCAUGGCUGUCGUCAGCUCGUGUCGUGAGAUGUUGGGUUAAGUCCCGCAACGAGCGCAACCCUUAUCAUUAGUUGCUACCAUUUAGUUGAGAACUCUAAUGAGACUGCCGGUGAUAAACCGGAGGAAGGCGGGGACGACGUCAAGUCAUCAUGGCCCUUAUGGGAUGGGCUACACACGUGCUACAAUGGGGGGUACAAAGAGCAGCCAACUGGCGACAGUGCGCGAAUCUCAUAAAACCUCUCGUAGUCCGGAUCGGAGUCUGCAACUCGACUCCGUGAAGUCGGAAUCGCUAGUAAUCGUGAAUCAGAAUGUCACGGUGAAUACGUUCCCGGGCCUUGUACACACCGCCCGUCACACCAUGGGAGUGGGUUGCAAAAGAAGUGGGUAGUCUAACCUUCGGGAGGGCGCUCACCACUUUGUGAUUCAUGACUGGGGUGAAGUCGUAACAAGGUAGCCGUA
rnacentral:rRNA from 1 species